AGACUCCUACGGGAGGCAGCAGUGGGGAAUAUUGCACAAUGGGCGCAAGCCUGAUGCAGCCAUGCCGCGUGUGUGAAGAAGGCCUUCGGGUUGUAAAGCACUUUCAGUCAGGUAGGUAAAGGUUAACGGGUUAAUACCCGUUAGCUGUGACGUUACUGACAGAAGAAGCACCGGCUAACUCCGUGCCAGCAGCCGCGGUAA
rnacentral:rRNA from 1 species